CACACUAUCAUUAACUGAAUCCAUAGGUUAAUGAGGCGAACCGGGGGAACUGAAACAUCUAAGUACCCCGAGGAAAAGAAAUCAACCGAGAUUCCCCCAGUAGCGGCGAGCGAACGGGGAGCAGCCCAGAGCCUGAAUCAGUGUGUGUGUUAGUGGAAGCGUCUGGAAAGGCGCGCGAUACAGGGUGACAGCCCCGUACACAAAAAUGCACAUGCUGUGAGCUCGAUGAGUAGGGCGGGACACGUGGUAUCCUGUCUGAAUAUGGGGGGACCAUCCUCCAAGGCUAAAUACUCCUGACUGACCGAUAGUGAACCAGUACCGUGAGGGAAAGGCGAAAAGAACCCCGGCGAGGGGAGUGAAAAAGAACCUGAAACCGUGUACGUACAAGCAGUGGGAGCACGCUUAGGCGUGUGACUGCGUACCUUUUGUAUAAUGGGUCAGCGACUUAUAUUCUGUAGCAAGGUUAACCGAAUAGGGGAGCCGAAGGGAAACCGAGUCUUAACUGGGCGUUAAGUUGCAGGGUAUAGACCCGAAACCCGGUGAUCUAGCCAUGGGCAGGUUGAAGGUUGGGUAACACUAACUGGAGGACCGAACCGACUAAUGUUGAAAAAUUAGCGGAUGACUUGUGGCUGGGGGUGAAAGGCCAAUCAAACCGGGAGAUAGCUGGUUCUCCCCGAAAGCUAUUUAGGUAGCGCCUCGUGAAUUCAUCUCCGGGGGUAGAGCACUGUUUCGGCAAGGGGGUCAUCCCGACUUACCAACCCGAUGCAAACUGCGAAUACCGGAGAAUGUUAUCACGGGAGACACACGGCGGGUGCUAACGUCCGUCGUGAAGAGGGAAACAACCCAGACCGCCAGCUAAGGUCCCAAAGUCAUGGUUAAGUGGGAAACGAUGUGGGAAGGCCCAGACAGCCAGGAUGUUGGCUUAGAAGCAGCCAUCAUUUAAAGAAAGCGUAAUAGCUCACUGGUCGAGUCGGCCUGCGCGGAAGAUGUAACGGGGCUAAACCAUGCACCGAAGCUGCGGCAGCGACGCUGAUGCGUUGUUGGGUAGGGGAGCGUUCUGUAAGCCUGCGAAGGUGUGCUGUGAGGCAUGCUGGAGGUAUCAGAAGUGCGAAUGCUGACAUAAGUAACGAUAAAGCGGGUGAAAAGCCCGCUCGCCGGAAGACCAAGGGUUCCUGUCCAACGUUAAUCGGGGCAGGGUGAGUCGACCCCUAAGGCGAGGCCGAAAGGCGUAGUCGAUGGGAAACAGGUUAAUAUUCCUGUACUUGGUGUUACUGCGAAGGGGGGACGGAGAAGGCUAUGUUGGCCGGGCGACGGUUGUCCCGGUUUAAGCGUGUAGGCUGGUUUUCCAGGCAAAUCCGGAAAAUCAAGGCUGAGGCGUGAUGACGAGGCACUACGGUGCUGAAGCAACAAAUGCCCUGCUUCCAGGAAAAGCCUCUAAGCAUCAGGUAACAUCAAAUCGUACCCCAAACCGACACAGGUGGUCAGGUAGAGAAUACCAAGGCGCUUGAGAGAACUCGGGUGAAGGAACUAGGCAAAAUGGUGCCGUAACUUCGGGAGAAGGCACGCUGAUAUGUAGGUGAAGUCCCUCGCGGAUGGAGCUGAAAUCAGUCGAAGAUACCAGCUGGCUGCAACUGUUUAUUAAAAACACAGCACUGUGCAAACACGAAAGUGGACGUAUACGGUGUGACGCCUGCCCGGUGCCGGAAGGUUAAUUGAUGGGGUUAGCCGCAAGGCGAAGCUCUUGAUCGAAGCCCCGGUAAACGGCGGCCGUAACUAUAACGGUCCUAAGGUAGCGAAAUUCCUUGUCGGGUAAGUUCCGACCUGCACGAAUGGCGUAAUGAUGGCCAGGCUGUCUCCACCCGAGACUCAGUGAAAUUGAACUCGCUGUGAAGAUGCAGUGUACCCGCGGCAAGACGGAAAGACCCCGUGAACCUUUACUAUAGCUUGACACUGAACAUUGAGCCUUGAUGUGUAGGAUAGGUGGGAGGCUUUGAAGUGUGGACGCCAGUCUGCAUGGAGCCGACCUUGAAAUACCACCCUUUAAUGUUUGAUGUUCUAACGUUGACCCGUAAUCCGGGUUGCGGACAGUGUCUGGUGGGUAGUUUGACUGGGGCGGUCUCCUCCUAAAGAGUAACGGAGGAGCACGAAGGUUGGCUAAUCCUGGUCGGACAUCAGGAGGUUAGUGCAAUGGCAUAAGCCAGCUUGACUGCGAGCGUGACGGCGCGAGCAGGUGCGAAAGCAGGUCAUAGUGAUCCGGUGGUUCUGAAUGGAAGGGCCAUCGCUCAACGGAUAAAAGGUACUCCGGGGAUAACAGGCUGAUACCGCCCAAGAGUUCAUAUCGACGGCGGUGUUUGGCACCUCGAUGUCGGCUCAUCACAUCCUGGGGCUGAAGUAGGUCCCAAGGGUAUGGCUGUUCGCCAUUUAAAGUGGUACGCGAGCUGGGUUUAGAACGUCGUGAGACAGUUCGGUCCCUAUCUGCCGUGGGCGCUGGAGAACUGAGGGGGGCUGCUCCUAGUACGAGAGGACCGGAGUGGACGCAUCACUGGUGUUCGGGUUGUCAUGCCAAUGGCACUGCCCGGUAGCUAAAUGCGGAAGAGAUAAGUGCUGAAAGCAUCUAAGCACGAAACUUGCCCCGAGAUGAGUUCUCCCUGACUCCUUGAGAGUCCUGAAGGAACGUUGAAGACGACGACGUUGAUAGGCCGGGUGUGUAAGCGCAGCGAUGCGUUGAGCUAACCGGUACUAAUGAACCGUGAGGCUUAACCUUACAACGCCGAAG
rnacentral:rRNA from 1 species